GAUGAACGCUGGCGGCGUUCCUAAUACAUGCAAGUCGAGCGAAUGGAUUAAGAGCUUGCUCUUAUGAAGUUAGCGGCGGACGGGUGAGUAACACGUGGGUAACCUGCCAAUAAGACUGGGAUAACUCCGGGAAACCGGGGCUAAUACCGGAUAACAUUUUGAACCGCAUGGUUCGAAAUUGAAAGGCGGCUUCGGCUGUCACUUAUGGAUGUACCCGCGUCGCAUUAGCUAGUUGGUGAGGUAACGGCACACCAAGGCAACGAUGGGUAGCCGACCUGAGAGGGUGAUCAGCCACACUGGGACUGAGACACGGCCCAGACUCCUACGGGAGGCAGCAGUAGGGAAGCUUCCGCAAUGGACGAAAGUCUGACGGAGCAACGCCGCGUGAGUGAUGAGGGCUUUCGGGUCGUAAAACUCUGUUGUUAGGGAAGAACAAGUGCUAGUUGAAUAAGCUGGCACCUCGACGGUACCUAACCAGAAAGCCACGGCUAACUACGUGCCAGCCGCCGCAGUAA
rnacentral:rRNA from 1 species